rnacentral:lncRNA from 1 species
UGCAGGGUCUGACCCACCCAGUGCCGAGUUUGUGAGGUCAGGACCCUCCACACUGUCCCCAUCCCUUCCAAGGCCUUCCUGCCAGCUCCUCUGGCCCUGGAGGAUGCAGGGACUGCAGAGCUGUGAAGUGCAGGAAUGCAGACUUCAGAGACUUUCCAUCCCCAUCACGGGUUCUGUGCGUGCCUUAUUGCGCUUAUUAACGUCUAUCACCAGGACAUAUGGAGGAGCAGCUACACCAGCCCUCUUAGAUCAUCACUCAGAGAUUAGAAGUCCCCAAGGAGAGGCAACGUGCUCCAGAAAGUCUGAGGAAGCAAAGCUGGUUUCCAGGCUCUGCCUCUCAACUCUGUGACAGCUCAGCCUGGCUCCUAAACUGGCUCUUCCUCAAACAAGUUCUGCUUCCUGAGCUCCAGGAACAUCCUGGAGCAUCCCAGAGAACCAACAAGUGAAAGGCAAGUUUUGAGUUGUCUUCAGCGAUGUUGCCUCUCCCACUCUCACAUCACCUCCAGCUCCCACUGGUUUUCCUCCAUGAAGCAGAGCUGCUGUGAAAGCCAUGGAAAGGAAUGAUAAGGUUUAAUUUCUAAAGCUUUAUGUGAUCCUGGCAUAGAAAAAAGGAAAAAAAAAAAAGAGCCAUAUGGAAAGAACAGCUGCCAAGUAAAAUCUCACCCUGAACGGAGAAUAUAUGAAAUUUCCUGGCGUGGGUGAAAAUGAAGUGUCAGAGGUUGGAGUUGGGAAAGGCCAGAAGGGAGCAACCCUUAAAAAAAGCAUAAAAACCUCUCCUUCUGAAUUCUUCUGGAGGGUGGCUGGUGGUGAGGGCAGAAGUGAUCUCAGGGUCCCAA